UUUUUGAAAACUUCACAAGCACUGAAAAUCCUAGAAUAUGAUAUAUUUUAGGAGGUUUAUGAAAGGAUGGAACGGACCCUGAAAAGCACUCUUGAAUACAGGUAAAGAAAGCAUUUCAUGGUUCACUUAUUGAGGACCAUCAACCACUUCAUAAUUUAGAACCUGAAGAUCGGAUCUUCUGAGAACCUCAGAGAAAGACUGCCCUUGUCAUCCACACUGCAGCAAAACUUCAGGACCUUGAACCUUGGGCUAAUAAUUUCACAACUGAGACGGCUUCAUCUACACCCUUGGAACUAUACCCAUUAGAACCCUUAAGGAUUUUGAAGCCAGCCUUAUACAUGGAUAAGCUUAUACCUUGAUAGAUGGAAGAUGAGGCGCAAUGAAGGUGAGAAAACAAAGGUUUGGCAAGGAUGAGUACUUGCUGCAGGUCCAACAGUUAUGACUGGAUUGGAACUUCAUCCCAGCUUGGCCUAACUUCAGAGGAGUUUCAUUCAACUUAUAUAGAUUCGAUAUGAAAUGGGAAUGCAAGAAGGCAUAGAUAUUUCUGGUUGAUUCAAUUUCCUGAUAAUUCCCAAUUACAAUAAAAGAAAUGGUUUCA
rnacentral:lncRNA from 10 species